GCCUCAGCCAGAUAGUACAGUCUAAGGAGGACAUGAGCCUAAGACUGGGCCAGUUUCCAUGUCAAACCAAGAUGGUGAAAGAUAAAGUGGACAGAAAAGCAGAAGAGACACGGAGCAGAUUGAAGAAAAGCAGGAGUUGUGGAGAUGAAAAGGAGUAAGAAAACUGCAGGAAAGAAGUUGCAGACCAUGAAAUGGGGCAUCAACAUGAACAGAUGAGGAUGGAAAGGGGAAAAGCUUGAAGCCAAACCACAGAGAAUUCAACCCAAUGAGAUCACCAGACUGAGAUGUUACCCAGAAGUUGCUGCCAAUCUGCAGGAACUCACACCAUGCAAGGACAGAGGACGGUAACUUGUGCAUAAUUCCGGG